AGCGAACGCUGGCGGCAGGCUUAACACAUGCAAGUCGAGCGGGCAUAGCAAUAUGUCAGCGGCAGACGGGUGAGUAACGCGUGGGAACGUAGCUUUUGGUUCGGAACAACACAGGGAAACUUGUGCUAAUACCGGAUAAGCCCUUACGGGGAAAGAUUUAUCGCCGAAAGAUCGGCCCGCGUCUGAUUAGCUAGUUGGUGAGGUAAUGGCUCACCAAGGCGAUGAUCAGUAGCUGGUCUGAGAGGAUGAUCAGCCACAUUGGGACUGAGACACGGCCCAAACUCCUACGGGAGGCAGCAGUGGGGAAUAUUGGACAAUGGGCGCAAGCCUGAUCCAGCCAUGCCGCGUGAGUGAUGAAGGCCCUAGGGUUGUAAAGCUCUUUUGUGCGGGAAGAUAAUGACGGUACCGCAAGAAUAAGCCCCGGCUAACUUCGUGCCAGCCGCCGCGGUAA
rnacentral:rRNA from 1 species